AUGGUCUUUGAAUAGAUUUAAUUCAUUUUUAUUUAUUUUAUUUUUUGUUGAAAUAUUUAUUUUCAAAUUAUUGGUUGUAUGUGGAAGGCAUAUCAUCAGAGUAUCACUUCUAGAAUGGGUACAUGUUUAACUUCGUUCGUGUUAUGAUGAACCUCUCUGCCUAAUGUGCGCGCGCGCUGACGCGUGAAGGUGCCGACCAGACGGAAGAACGAAGACAUUGUAGGGGCAUAUAGAUCUCACGAUCAUAACAUCCUUGGGAUUUUAUUCCUUCACUCUUCCCACAGGUGAUAUCUCAGGGAUAGAUGACACCAGGCGUUCAAACAAGCAUACAUGAUGCCAAUCAAGAGGCGAUGCAUGGGAUAACAGAGAUUCAGUCUUGUUCAGAUUCAAAUUCAUGGGCUCAUGCAUAUAAGCAAGAUCUGGAUAGUUUUUCAUUAAGCCAGAUACUCUAGAGCUCGAAUCUAGUGGGACAACAACUCUUCGUCUAUAAAAGAAGGUUCAGGUAUCAGAGGGCCCUCGGUUGUAGUAGCUUCAGCGACCUUUGAGCUUUCCGCUCUUUUCCAUGUGCGGAGUAGUCGAUGUGCCGCGGAUGGUCACCUUCCCGAAGCUUGAUUAGCUAGGAGCCUUUCGACCACCAGAUUGGGCUUAUAGUGAGACAGAACGGCCUGUCUGUGGGAAAGGAAGAACAAGACCAGAAAAAGGAAGCCCAGGAGGACCAACCAGACCGGUAGCAACAGGUAAAACAGGCAGAAAAAACGACCUGGAGUCCCUCGAAUCUUAUCGCCUGUAUCCUUAGUUUGUGGUUGCAGUAUCUUCCGAGCAUAACCUGCUGGUCCAACCGGUACAAACUUUAACAACAAUGGUGUGGAACCUGUUGCCGAUGGACAACGACCAUUAAAACCGUCCACAGGCCUAGCUUGAUUAGCUUGAUUAUUUAAUGAGUCAGAUUCAAGUUUAGACCUCUGAACCAUUUAUUCUACUUGACACAUUUAUAAAUUGGGUCAAAUCAUGAGCCGACCCACUUAACUUGUUUAAGACUUGUUUAACCCAUCUAAAUCCAACUUAGCCAGUUUCUAUCUUGUUUAAUACAACCUGUUUAAUUUAUUAUAUCUAUUUAAAU